rnacentral:rRNA from 1 species
AGGUAGUAAAAAUAUAUUUACAAACCUAUUUAUAUCGACGGCAUUUUAUUUUAUUAGAGGAACCUGUUUAUUAAUCGAUAAUCCACGUUAAUUUUUACUUUAUAUUAAAAUUUAUAUACCGCCACUUAAAGAAUUAAAUUUAUUAAUUUAUUCCAAAUAAAAAUUAAAAAUUAGGUCAAGGUGUAGUUAAUAAUAAAGAUUAAAUGGGUUACAUUAAAUGAACUUAUGAAUAAAUUUUAUUUAUAAAAUUUAGAAAAAGGAUUUAAAAGUAAUAAUUUAAUAAUAUUAAAUUAUUAAUUAAAUAAUAAAUGUGU